AUCCAGCUGACGUGUCCAAAGUAGGACGAAAUGCGCCUUAUCCUGGAU
rfam:Trichobilharzia regenti genome assembly, scaffold: TRE_scaffold0019723